GGCUGUCGUCAGCUCGUGUCGUGAGAUGUUGGGUUAAGUCCCGCAACGAGCGCAACCCUCGCCUUUAGUUGCCAUCAUUUAGUUGGGCACUCUAAAGGAACCGCCGGUGAUAAGCCGGAGGAAGGUGGGGAUGACGUCAAGUCCUCAUGGCCCUUACGCGUUGGGCUACACACGUGCUACAAUGGCAACUACAGUGGGCAGCAAUCCCGCGAGGGCGAGCUAAUCUCCAAAAGUUGUCUCAGUUCGGAUUGUUCUCUGCAACUCGAGAGCAUGAAGGCGGAAUCGCUAGUAAUCGCGGAUCAGCAUGCCGCGGUGAAUACGUUCCCAGGCCUUGUACACACCGCCCGUCACACCAUGGGAGUUGGAUUCACCCGAAGGCGCUGCGCUAACCGCAAGGAGGCAGGCGACCACGGUGGGUUUAGCGACUGGGGUGAAGUCGUAACAAGGUAGCCGUAGGGGAACCUGCGGCUGGAUCACCUCCUUUCUAAGG
rnacentral:rRNA from 1 species